GCCUCUGUGGCGCAGCCGUAGCGCUUUCCACUCGUAAUGGAAGGGUCCAGUGUUCAAAUCACUGCUGAGGCA
rnacentral:tRNA from 1 species